rnacentral:rRNA from 1 species
CCUACGGGAGGCUGCAGUGGGGAAUAUUGCACAAUGGGGGAAACCCUGAUGCAGCGAUGCCGCGUGGAGGAAGAAGGUUUUCGGAUUGUAAACUCCUUUUAUCAGGGACGAUAAUGACGGUACCUGAAGAAAAAGCUCCGUCUAACUACGUUCCAGCAGCCGCGGUAAUACGUAGGGAGCGAUCGUUGUCCGGAUUUACUGGGUGUAAAGGGGGCGUAGGCGGGACGGCAAGUCAGAUGUGAAGACUGAGGGCUCAACCCGGGCCGGCCGUUGAUACUGGGGACCUUGAGUGCGCGAGAAGUAGGCGGAAUGCGUGGUGUAGCGGUGAAAUGCAUAGAUAUCACGAAGAACUCCGAUUGCGAAGGCAGCAUACCGGCGCCCGACUGACGUUGAGGCACGAAAGCGUGGGGAUCGAACAGGAUUAGAUACCCUAGUAGUC